AUNAAAUUAGGGAGGAAAGCAGAGAACGUUUUUCUUCUUUCCAUUGCUAGAUUUUUUUAGUUUCCUCAAUUUUUUAUUUUUUUUAGAAAAAAAGAUUUAAAAAAAUAAAAUCAGAAAAGUAAAGAUAUAUUCUGAAAUCUCGUCCUUUCCGAUUCGGUUUUCAAAAAUGGAGUGGGUGUUCGGAUUUGGACUUUCCGUUCGAGAUCAAUUCCCGGUUUAAGUUCGAGGUUCCGGUGUUGCUAGUUUCUUGUUCGAUCUUCGUUCCGAUGUACACGAUUAAUACUGUCCAUGUAACUUGAAAGUUGAGCAUGAAUACAAAAGAGAAGAGUUGAAGAUUGUUUAUUUUUAGACAUAGCUUGUAUACUGUAUAUCACAGAAUGUAUUGUUGUUUUACAUUUCUGUUUGGAUACUUGAGUUAGCUCUCAUACAUAGCAAAUGUCAACGGUAGGGUAACUUGUUAUUUUAUUAUGUGUGUAGGUUGAUAGA